rnacentral:rRNA from 1 species
GGGUUGUGAGGUUAAGCGACUAAGCGUACACGGUGGAUGCCUAGGCAGUCAGAGGCGAUGAAGGGCGUGCUAAUCUGCGAAAAGCGUCGGUAAGCUGAUAUGAAGCGUUAUAACCGACGAUACCCGAAUGGGGAAACCCAGUGCAAUUCGUUGCACUAUUGCAUGGUGAAUACAUAGCCAUGCAAGGCGAACCGGGGGAACUGAAACAUCUAAGUACCCCGAGGAAAAGAAAUCAACCGAGAUUCCCCCAGUAGCGGCGAGCGAACGGGGAAGAGCCCAGAGUCUGAAUCAGUUUAUGUGUUAGUGGAAGCGUCUGGAAAGUCGCACGGUACAGGGUGAUAGUCCCGUACACAAAAAUGCAUAUUCUGUGAACUCGAUGAGUAGGGCGGGACACGUGACAUCCUGUCUGAAUAUGGGGGGACCAUCCUCCAAGGCUAAAUACUCCUGACUGACCGAUAGUGAACCAGUACCGUGAGGGAAAGGCGAAAAGAACCCCGGCGAGGGGAGUGAAAUAGAACCUGAAACCGUGUACGUACAAGCAGUGGGAGCACCUUCGUGGUGUGACUGCGUACCUUUUGUAUAAUGGGUCAGCGACUUAUAUUUUGUAGCAAGGUUAACCGAAUAGGGGAGCCGUAGGGAAACCGAGUCUUAACUGGGCGUCUAGUUGCAAGGUAUAGACCCGAAACCCGGUGAUCUAGCCAUGGGCAGGUUGAAGGUUGGGUAACACUAACUGGAGGACCGAACCGACUAAUGUUGAAAAAUUAGCGGAUGACUUGUGGCUGGGGGUGAAAGGCCAAUCAAACCGGGAGAUAGCUGGUUCUCCCCGAAAGCUAUUUAGGUAGCGCCUCGUGAACUCAUCUUCGGGGGUAGAGCACUGUUUCGGCUAGGGGGUCAUCCCGACUUACCAAACCGAUGCAAACUCCGAAUACCGAAGAAUGUUAUCACGGGAGACACACGGCGGGUGCUAACGUCCGUCGUGAAGAGGGAAACAACCCAGACCGCCAGCUAAGGUCCCAAAGUCAUGGUUAAGUGGGAAACGAUGUGGGAAGGCAUAGACAGCCAGGAUGUUGGCUUAGAAGCAGCCAUCAUUUAAAGAAAGCGUAAUAGCUCACUGGUCGAGUCGGCCUGCGCGGAAGAUGUAACGGGGCUAAACCAUGCACCGAAGCUGCGGCAGCGACGCUUAGGCGUUGUUGGGUAGGGGAGCGUUCUGUAAGCCGUUGAAGGUGACCUGUGAGGGUUGCUGGAGGUAUCAGAAGUGCGAAUGCUGACAUAAGUAACGAUAAUGCGGGUGAAAAACCCGCACGCCGGAAGACCAAGGGUUCCUGUCCAACGUUAAUCGGGGCAGGGUGAGUCGACCCCUAAGGCGAGGCUGAAAAGCGUAGUCGAUGGGAAACAGGUUAAUAUUCCUGUACUUGGUGUUACUGCGAAGGGGGGACGGAGAAGGCUAGGCUAGCCGGGCGACGGUUGUCCCGGUUUAAGCAUGUAGGCGGAGUGACUUGGUAAAUCCGGUUGCUUAUCAACGCUGAGGUGUGAUGACGAUGCACUACGGUGCAGAAGUAGUUGAUGCCAAGCUUCCAGGAAAAGCCUCUAAGCAUCAGGUAACAUUAAAUCGUACCCCAAACCGACACAGGUGGUCAGGUAGAGAAUACUCAGGCGCUUGAGAGAACUCGGGUGAAGGAACUAGGCAAAAUGGUGCCGUAACUUCGGGAGAAGGCACGCUGGCAUUAGGUAAAGAGACUUGCUCUCGGCGCCGAAGCCAGUCGCAGAUACCAGCUGGCUGCAACUGUUUAAUAAAAACACAGCACUGUGCAAACACGAAAGUGGACGUAUACGGUGUGACGCCUGCCCGGUGCUGGAAGGUUAAUUGAUGGGGUCAGCCUUACGGCGAAGCUCUUGAUCGAAGCCCCAGUAAACGGCGGCCGUAACUAUAACGGUCCUAAGGUAGCGAAAUUCCUUGUCGGGUAAGUUCCGACCUGCACGAAUGGCGUAAUGAUGGCCAGGCUGUCUCCACCCGAGACUCAGUGAAAUUGAACUCGCUGUGAAGAUGCAGUGUACCCGCGGCAAGACGGAAAGACCCCGUGAACCUUUACUAUAGCUUGACACUGAACAUUGAGCCUUGAUGUGUAGGAUAGGUGGGAGGCAUUGAAGUGUGGACGCCAGUCUGCAUGGAGCCAACCUUGAAAUACCACCCUUUAAUGUUUGAUGUUCUAACUCGGCCCCGUAAUCCGGGGUGAGGACAGUGUCUGGUGGGUAGUUUGACUGGGGCGGUCUCCUCCCAAAGAGUAACGGAGGAGCACGAAGGUUAGCUAAUCACGGUCGGACAUCGUGAGGUUAGUGCAAAGGCAUAAGCUAGCUUGACUGCGAGAGUGACGGCUCGAGCAGGUACGAAAGUAGGUCUUAGUGAUCCGGUGGUUCUGAAUGGAAGGGCCAUCGCUCAACGGAUAAAAGGUACUCCGGGGAUAACAGGCUGAUACCGCCCAAGAGUUCAUAUCGACGGCGGUGUUUGGCACCUCGAUGUCGGCUCAUCACAUCCUGGGGCUGAAGUAGGUCCCAAGGGUAUGGCUGUUCGCCAUUUAAAGUGGUACGCGAGCUGGGUUUAGAACGUCGUGAGACAGUUCGGUCCCUAUCUGCCGUGGGCGUUGGAAGAUUGAGAGGGGCUGCUCCUAGUACGAGAGGACCGGAGUGGACGAAUCACUGGUGUUCGGGUUGUCAUGCCAAUGGCAUUGCCCGGUAGCUAAAUUCGGAAGAGAUAACCGCUGAAAGCAUCUAAGCGGGAAACUUGCCUCGAGAUGAGUCUUCCCUGGGGCUUUAAGCCCCCUGAAGGAACGUUAAAGACUAUGACGUUGAUAGGCUGGGUGUGUAAGUGCAGCGAUGCAUUGAGCUAACCAGUACUAAUGAUCCGUGAGGCUUAACCUUACAACACCAAAGGUGUUUUG